UACGUAGGGUGCGAGCGUUAAUCGGAAUUACUGGGCGUAAAGCGUGCGCAGGCGGUUCGUUAAGUCAGAUGUGAAAGCCCCGGGCUCAACCUGGGAACUGCAUUUGAAACUGGCGGGCUUGAGUGCGGCAGAGGGAGGUGGAAUUCCACGUGUAGCAGUGAAAUGCGUAGAGAUGUGGAGGAACACCGAUGGCGAAGGCAGCCUCCUGGGCCAGCACUGACGCUCAUGCACGAAAGCGUGGGGAGCAAACAGG
rnacentral:rRNA from 1 species